rfam:Triticum aestivum genome assembly, contig: Triticum_aestivum_CS42_TGACv1_scaffold_131824_2BL
UUAUUACUCCCUCCGUCCUAAAAUUCUUGUCUUAGAUUUGUAUAGAUACGGAUGUAUCUAAUACUAAAACAUAACUUGAUACGUCCGUAUUUAGACAAAUCUAAGACAAGAGUUUUGGGACGGAGGGAGUAUUUG